AAUAGAUACCCGGGUAGUCCACGCCGUAAACGAUGAGUGCUAAGUGUUAGGGGGUUUCCGCCCCUUAGUGCUGCAGCUAACGCAUUAAGCACUCCGCCUGGGGAGUACGGUCGCAAGACUGAAACUCAAAGGAAUUGACGGGGGCCCGCACAAGCGGUGGAGCAUGUGGUUUAAUUCGAAGCAACGCGAAGAACCUUACCAGGUCUUGACAUCCCGUUGACCACUGUAGAGAUAUAGUUUCCCCUUCGGGGGCAACGGUGACAGGUGGUGCAUGGUUGUCGUCAGCUCGUGUCGUGAGAUGUUGGGUUAAGUCCCGCAACGAGCGCAACCCUUGAUCUUAGUUGCCAUCAUUUAGUUGGGCACUCUAAGGUGACUGCCGGUGACAAACCGGAGGAAGGUGGGGAUGACGUCAAAUCAUCAUGCCCCUUAUGACCUGGGCUACACACGUGCUACAAUGGACGAUACAAACGGUUGCCAACUCGUGAGAGGGAGCUAAUCCGAUAAAGUCGUUCUCAGUUCGGAUUGUAGG
rnacentral:rRNA from 1 species